rnacentral:rRNA from 2 species
AACGCGAAGAACCUUACCAGGUCUUGACAUACUAUGCAAAUCUAAGAGAUUAGACGUUCCCUUCGGGGACAUGGAUACAGGUGGUGCAUGGUUGUCGUCAGCUCGUGUCGUGAGAUGUUGGGUUAAGUCCCGCAACGAGCGCAACCCUUAUUAUCAGUUGCCAGCAUUAAGUUGGGCACUCUGGUGAGACUGCCGGUGACAAACCGGAGGAAGGUGGGGAUGACGUCAAAUCAUCAUGCCCCUUAUGACCUGGGCUACACACGUGCUACAAUGGAUGGUACAACGAGUUGCGAACUCGCGAGAGUAAGCUAAUCUCUUAAAGCCAUUCUCAGUUCGGAUUGUAGGCUGCAACUCGCCUACAUGAAGUCGGAAUCGCUAGUAAUCGCGGAUCAGCAUGCCGCGGUGAAUACGUUCCCGGGCCUUGUACACACCG